rnacentral:lncRNA from 1 species
UGCGGUAACAUUUUUUUCUUCAGGUUAACAUAUUUUCAAAUGAAACAAGUGCAUGUAAAUAUUUUGAAUAUGUAUUACAAUGGUGGGGAUAUGGUUUUGAUAUACAACAGAAAACAAUAUAAGGAUAGAAAUUUCACAUAAACGGAUUUUUUCUCCAUCUUAAUAGUUGCUGCAAGGUCUUCAAUGAUACAGAACUCAUUUCAUAUUCCUUUAUAACAUGUGUAACAGUGCUAGAUGUUUAUUAUCAUAAAUAUUCACUAUAAAUACAUGUCAUACAUGAAUAAGGGAAAAUAAAACAAAUUGCAAAAACUUUCUGCACAUAUACCAUCGAUAUGCAUCUAACGCAACUACAUAAAACAUACGGUAGACGCUUUCAUAAACUUUACAAUAGCUAUGAACAAUCGUAACUCGCCAAGUUAGUCGCAUGCGGCGCACUCGACUCUGCGAUAAACUAUUUCUUUACGCCUCGUAGCGUAUAAACCAGCCAAACAAGAAAGUUUGUACGUCAUUUGUAGUUUAGUGUUUGACUUAAGCUCCUACAUCCGUUCCGAGAAAUUCGACACAAAUUGUUAUGUAUGUUUUGUUGAUGCUUUAAUUUUGUUCUCCUAAAGUUCUAUGCUCAAGCAAAAUAUAGUGUUAACUUGUGUACAACGAAGUAUCAUGUGAUGAUUUCAUAGUACGUAUAGAUAUUAUAAUUUGU